rnacentral:lncRNA from 1 species
CUCCAGCUUCCCCUGGUGCUGGUGGUGGCCGUCGCCGUGGUGAGCGCGGCGCUUGCUUUUAUGGUGGUAAUCCGUCUCGUCGUCGUCAUCUUCCUGUUCGUCAUCGUCAUCAUCGUCGUCGUCCUCCUCAGUGUUUACAUCAUCGUCGUCGUCGUCCUCGUCCUCCUCAUGAGUUGCCAUGCCAUCCUCCUCCACAGCCGUGGUUCCUCGCUUCCCCACGGACACUGCAGUCGGUGGGUGGUGGAAGCAGGGCUGCUGGUGAUCCGCGUGCAGUGGAGGCGGCGGUUGCAUCUGCGGAGGUGGCGCGGAAGCUAAGUUUGCGGUGGCGGUGGCGUUGUGGUAGGCGCACAUCUCGCGGAAGAAGAGGUGCUUGGAAUUGAGGAGCUUGCGGGCCUCCUCCUUGGCCUUGGGGGAGAGGUCCAUGGUGUCGAGAAGGGCCUGGUUC